AUUGAACGCUGGCGGCAGGCCUAACACAUGCAAGUCGAGCGGAUGAAGGGAGCUUGCUCCUGGAUUCAGCGGCGGACGGGUGAGUAAUGCCUAGGAAUCUGCCUGGUAGUGGGGGAUAACGUCCGGAAACGGGCGCUAAUACCGCAUACGUCCUGAGGGAGAAAGUGGGGGAUCUUCGGACCUCACGCUAUCAGAUGAGCCUAGGUCGGAUUAGCUAGUUGGUGGGGUAAAGGCCUACCAAGGCGACGAUCCGUAACUGGUCUGAGAGGAUGAUCAGUCACACUGGAGCUUGGACACGGUCCAGGCUCCUACGGGAGGCAGCAGUGGGGAAUAUUAGACAGUGGUCGAAAGCCUGAUCCAGCCAUGCCGCGUGUGUGAAGAAGGUCUUCGGAUUGUAAAGCACUUUAAGUUGGGAGGAAGGGCAGUAAGUUAAUACCUUGCUGUUUUGACGUUACCAACAGAAUAAGCACCGGCUAACUUCGUG
rnacentral:rRNA from 1 species